rnacentral:rRNA from 1 species
AGACGUCUACAUUAGAUCCCGUGUAGUCCCAGCCGUAAACUAUGCGCGUUAGGUGUAUCGGUGACCACGAGUCACCGAGGUGCCGAAGGGAAACCGUGAAACGUGCCGCCUGGGAAGUACGGUCGCAAGGCUGAAACUUAAAGGAAUUGGCGGGGAGCACCACAACGGGUGGAGCCUGCGGUUUAAUUGGACUCAACGCCGGGAAGCUCACCGGAUAAGACAGCGGAAUGAUUGCCGGGCUGAAGACUCUGCAUGACUAGCUG